GCGGCUACACUGACAGAGCCAGCGAGUUUUUUUCCUUGGCCGGAAGGUCUGGGUAAUCUUGUGAAACUCUGUCGUGCUGGGGAUAGAGCAUUGCAAUUAUUGCUCUUCAACGAGGAAUUCCUAGUAAGCGUGAGUCAUCAGCUCGCGUUGAUUACGUCCCUGCCCUUUGUACACACCGCCCGUCGUUACUACCGAUUGAAUGGCUUAGUGAGGUCUUGGGAUCGGCUUCGGGGAGUCGGCAACGACACCCUGUCGCUGAAAACUUGAUCAAACUUGGUCAUUUAGAGGAAGUACAAGUCGUAACAAGGUUUCCGUAGGUGAACCUGCGGAAGGAUCAUUA
rnacentral:rRNA from 2 species